rnacentral:rRNA from 1 species
CCUACGGGAGGCAGCAGUGGGGAAUAUUGGACAAUGGGCGAAAGCCUGAUCCAGCAAUGCCGCGUGAGUGAUGAAGGCCUUAGGGUCGUAAAGCUCUUUUACCAGGGAUGAUAAUGACAGUACCUGGAGAAUAAGCUCCGGCUAACUCCGUGCCAGCAGCCGCGGUAAUACGGAGGGAGCUAGCGUUGUUCGGAAUUACUGGGCGUAAAGCGUGCGUAGGCGGUUAUUCAAGUCAGAGGUGAAAGCCCGGGGCUCAACCCCGGAACGGCCUUUGAAACUAGAUAACUAGAAUCUUGGAGAGGUCAGUGGAAUUCCGAGUGUAGAGGUGAAAUUCGUAGAUAUUCGGAAGAACACCAGUGGCGAAGGCGACUGACUGGACAAGUAUUGACGCUGAGGUACGAAAGCGUGGGGAGCAAACAGGAUUAGAUACCCUGGUAGUCCACGCCGUAAACGAUGAUAACUAGCUGUCCGGACACUUGGUGUUUGGGUGGCGCAGCUAACGCAUUAAGUUAUCCGCCUGGGGAGUACGGUCGCAAGAUUAAAACUCAAAUGAAUUGACGG